UACGAAGGGGGCUAGCGUUGCUCGGAAUCACUGGGCGUAAAGGGUGCGUAGGCGGGUCUUUUAAGUCAGGGGUGAAAUCCUGGAGCUCAACUCCAGAACUGCCUUUGAUACUGAGGAUCUUGAGUUCGGGAGAGGUGAGUGGAACUGCGAGUGUAGAGGUGAAAUUCGUAGAUAUUCGCAAGAACACCAGUGGCGAAGGCGGCUCACUGGCCCGAUACUGACGCUGAGGCACGAAAGCGUGGGUAGCAAACAGGG
rnacentral:rRNA from 1 species